rnacentral:rRNA from 1 species
GACGAACGCUGGCGGCGUGCUUAACACAUGCAAGUCGAACGGAAAGGCCCUGCUUUUGUGGGGUGCUCGAGUGGCGAACGGGUGAGUAACACGUGAGUAACCUGCCCUUGACUUUGGGAUAACUUCAGGAAACUGGGGCUAAUACCGGAUAGGAGCUCCUGCUGCAUGGUGGGGGUUGGAAAGUUUCGGCGGUUGGGGAUGGACUCGCGGCUUAUCAGCUUGUUGGUGGGUAGUGGCUUACCAAGGCUUUGACGGGUAGCCGGCCUGAGAGGGUGACCGGCCACAUUGGGACUGAGAUACGGCCCAGACUCCUACGGGAGGCAGCAGUGGGGAAUAUUGCACAAUGGACGGAAGCCUGAUGCAGCAACGCCGCGUGCGGGAUGACGGCCUUCGGGUUGUAAACCGCUUUCGCCUGUGACGAAGCGUGAGUGACGGUAAUGGGGAAAGAAGCACCGGCUAACUACGU